UACGUAGGGUCCGAGCGUUGUCCGGAAUUACUGGGCGUAAAGAGCUCGUAGGUGGUUUGUCGCGUUGUUCGUGAAAACUCACAGCUCAACUGUGGGCGUGCGGGCGAUACGGGCAGACUAGAGUACUGCAGGGGGAGACUGGAAUUCCUGGUGUAGCGGUGGAAUGCGCAGAUAUCAGGAGGAACACCGGUGGCGAAGGCGGGUCUCUGGGCAGUAACUGACGCUGGAGGAGCGGAAAGCCGUGGGGAGCGAACAGG
rnacentral:rRNA from 1 species